GCUCAAACUCCCACUCAUUGAAAGAAGAAAGAGGCGGGAAACCACAGGAACGUUUAACAACUUUAAUCAUAGAGUAAACAAAACAAACGUAUCCAUACAGUGCUCCUCCAUAGGACUUGACACUUGUUAAACACUUGCCUCGCUCUCAUAACUGUCGGCCCCGCCCACAUUUUGUCAUCUCUACCAAAUCUGACCAAUCACAGACCUUGCAUUCCACAUUGUAGAAAUAUGUAGUUGCAUUUAUUUGGUAUGGUGAAGUGUGCACGACUAAAGUGUGUAAUGAAGCUUUGCCGGAUCUUUGCUACCUCUUUAGAAUGUGCUAAUGGUAGUCAUGUUUCAUCAAAAAAAAUCAGGGGUAGUUUUAAAUGUCUAUCUGAAUGAAUUACAACCCUAAAUAAGGAUGUAGAAUCCUUUAAAAUGUCUAUAGGGUGUACUAUAUGAAAUUUGUUCAUUGUUUAUUAGAGUGGUAGUUCAUUCAGCUAGACCUUUGAUGCUCAAUGCUACCCUUGUUCCCACACCGUUAUUUAAAAUGGUAGUUUAUUUAGUUAGACCUUUGAAGUUGACAGGAUGCAUUACCCCUGUUCCUAAACCCUUAUUUAAUGAACAACCGUCUUAAAUAAGGGAAACAGGGGUAGUCCAUCUUGUCAGCUUCAAAAAUGUAACUGAAUGAACUACCCUUGUUCCUACACUCUUAUUUAAGAUGGUAGUUUAUUCCAAAAGACAUUUGAAGCCGACAAGAUGAGCUACCCCUGUUCCCACACCCUUAUUUAAGGCGGUAGUUCAUUCUGACAGACAUUUGAAGUUGACAAUAUGCGUAACCCCUGAUCCUACACUCCCUAUUUUAGGUGGUAGUUCCUUCGAAUAGACAUUUGAGGUUGACAAGAUGCA
rnacentral:lncRNA from 1 species